rnacentral:lncRNA from 1 species
GAACUCUCACAAUGCGGUACGGUCUGUCUUGUCCGAUUCAUGACGUUUUGGGCCCAUCGACUCUGUACAGUUACCAGUCAAAUUAGUAGAUAAUAAAUUUAAUUUAAGAAUAAAUGAUUCAGUCAUUAAGCUCUAAAAAAAAAGUUUAUAUGUGUAACCUGAUAUGCCGGAUCCUCGUAAUGCCGGCAUAUGACAGUCCAAUCGUCUAUGGUGAUGCUGUCAUAAGGCUGUUGCCACACUGCCUCCUCCCCAUGAUCCCGCACCAUCUGGUACCAAUGCUGAUGCAUGUGAUGGUG